rnacentral:rRNA from 1 species
GAUGAACGCUAGCGGCAGGCCUAAUACAUGCAAGUCGGACGGGAUCGGGGAGCUUGCUCCCCGUGAGAGUGGCGCACGGGUGCGUAACACGUAUGUAACAUACCUUUAUCAGGGGGAUAGCCUCUGGAAAGAGAGAUUAACACCGCAUAACAUCACAUGAUAGCAUUAACGAGUGAUAAAAUAAUCAUAGGCAAAAGAUGGGCAUGCGGGACAUUAGCUAGUUGGCGGGGUAACGGCCCACCAAGGCGACGAUGUCUAGGGGAUCUGAGAGGAUGACCCCCCACACUGGUACUGAGACACGGACCAAACUCCUACGGGAGGCAGCAGUAAGGAAUAUUGGUCAAUGGACGCAAGUCUGAACCAGCCAUGCCGCGUGCAGGAGGACGGCCCUACGGGUUGUAAACUGCUUUUGUACCGGAAUAAACCCUUUUACGUGUAAGAGGCUGAAUGUACGGUAAGAAUAAGGAUCGGCUAACUCCGUGCCAGCAGCCGCAGUAAUAC